rnacentral:rRNA from 1 species
GAUGAACGCUGGCGGCGUGCUUAACACAUGCAAGUCGAACGGAGCUUAUUUGAUAGAGACUUCGGUCAAUUGAUUAUAAGCUUAGUGGCGGACGGGUGAGUAACGCGUGAGGAAUCUGCCUUGGAGUGGGGAAUAACACAGUGAAAAUUGUGCUAAUACCGCAUAAUGCAGUUGAGUCGCAUGGCUCUGACUGCCAAAGAUUUAUGUGCUGAGAGAUGGCCUCGCGUCUGAUUAGCUAGUUGGUGGGGUAACGGCUCACCAAGGCGACGAUCAGUAGCCGGUCUGAGAGGAUGAACGGCCACAUUGGGACUGAGAUACGGCCCAG